rnacentral:rRNA from 1 species
CAAUAGCGUAUAUUAAAGUUGUUGCAGUUAAAAAGCUCGUAGUUGGAUUUCUGGCAGUGUGACUCCGGCCGGCAUGACGUCGGGCCCGGAGGGCGCUACCAUCCUUCUGUCAACCUUUGCGAGAUUCAUUUUUCGCCUUGGGGCUCAGAUAUUUUACCUUGAGAAAAUUAGAGUGUUUCAGGCAGGCUUUCGCCGGAAUACAUUAGCAUGGAAUAAUGGAAAAGGACUUCAAACUCUUCUGUUGGUCUGAGAGUAUGAUGUAAUGAUUAAUAGGGAUAGUUGGGGGCAUUAGUACUUGACUGUCAGAGGUGAAAUUCUCCGAUUUGUUAAAGACUAACUUAUGCGAAAGCAUUUGCCAAGGAUGUUUUCAUUAAUCAAGAACGAAAGUUAGGGGAUCAAAGACGAUCAGAUACCAU